rnacentral:lncRNA from 1 species
GGGAAAGGACAAAGGACAUAUUACAGACCAAAACUUCUUAACAUAAGGUAUCUGCAUACAAGGUAUGAAGCAUUCAGGUCUCCUACCUUCUGAAAUAUAAACUUGUUUGCAAAUAGUGUAUGCCUGCUGCUGCUGGAUAGUAAGUACUGUCAACAUAUAUUUGUUCAGCCUAACAGACGUUCCACUGGAAACUUUGUAAUAAACAAAGUCAUAAUAUUUGUUCCAAUGGUGUUCCUCAUUGGAACAAAUAUGCUAUUCCAUUCAUUCUGUUAGGAACAUAUACUGUUAUAAUUAUUCCAGUUUUACUAGUAACCCAGAAUUUAUUUUUACACUCCCAUAGAC